CGACGACGACAACGAGCACCGCCUUGGCCUCCCCGUCAUCUCCUCCCUCCUCUCCUCCCUCGCCGACGUCGCCUCCCAAUCCACCCGCGGCUCCGUCCUCAUCACCACCGCCCGCGGCAAGUUCUUCUCCAACGGCUUCGACCUCGCCUGGGCCCAGUCCGCCGGCCCCUCCUCCGCCCUCCACCGCCUCCACCAGAUGGUCAUCGCCUUCAAGCCCGUCGUCGCCGCCCUCCUCUCCCUCCCCAUGCCCACCAUCGCCGCCCUCCCCGGCCACGCCGCCGCCGCCGGCCUCCUCCUCGCCCUCAGCCACGACUACGUCACCAUGCGCGGCGAUCGCGGCGUGCUCUACAUGAGCGAGGUCGACCUGGGGCUGCCGCUGCCGGACUACUUCGUG
rnacentral:lncRNA from 1 species